rnacentral:lncRNA from 1 species
CUUGCUCGGCGAUUACAAACUUGGAGCAUUUCAAGUGGACACAAAUUUCGGGCCAUGCUGUUCCAGUGACUACCUCCAACACCUGUAAGACAGGCAUUAUGGUGGGAAACGCACCAUGGCCCGGUCCCAGCAUCCCUCCUCCAGCCUUUCCACUGCUGGGAUCAGAUCACUUUCGAGCUGAACAUCGCACAGGAAAUACCACUUUGAGGGCUGAAUUCAUGACCGAACAGAGAAGGCCAAACCCUUGCUGUUGCCCUGUGCAUCAGGGGAUGUCCACCUCUUCUACACAAACAGAUGGCACUGGAACAACGGGUCUCUUCUCUGUGCACGAGGCUUUGUGGAUGCUCAGUUCACAGCGAGCAUAAGGCAAAGUAAAACCAGACUGAAAACUUUCAUUACCCAGCGAUGCAAGUCACAACGGCAGGGUUAAAUCUGUUUCUAUUUAGACGAUAUCUGGAACAGCGUUUUAUUAUACAGCCUGUAAAGCACUGCCUGUGCAUGGGUGGAAAGUACAUUGUCUCCUUAAAUAAAGAACUGGGGCCGGAUUGUU